UACGUAGGCAGCAAGCGUUGUUCGGAAUUACUGGGCGUAAAGAGUGUGUAGGCGGUGUUCUAAGUUUGUCGUGAAAUCUCCCGGCUUAACUGGAAGGGUGCGGCGAAAACUGGAAUGCUAGAGGAUGGGAGAGGUAAGCGGAAUUCCUGGUGUAGCGGGUGAAAUGCGUAGAUAUCAGGAGGAACACCUGUGGUGUAGACAGCUUCUGGACCAUUUCUGACGCUGAGACACGAAAGCGUGGGUAGCAAACAGG
rnacentral:rRNA from 1 species